GAUGAACGCUGGCGGCGUGCCUAACACAUGCAAGUCGAACGAAGCACCUUACCUGAUUCUUCGGAUGAAAGUUUGGUGACUGAGUGGCGGACGGGUGAGUAACGCGUGGGUAACCUGCCCUGUACAGGGGGAUAACAGCUGGAAACGGCUGCUAAUACCGCAUAAGCGCACGAGGAGACAUCUCCUUGUGUGAACAACUCCGGUGGUACAGGAUGGGCCCGCGUCUGAUUAGCUGGUUGGCAGGGUAACGGCCUACCAAGGCAACGAGCAGUAGCCGGUCUGAGAGGAUGAACGGCCACAUUGGAACUGAGACACGGUCCAAACUCCUACGGGAGGCAGCAGGGGGGAAUAUUGCACAAUGGGGGAAACCCUGAUGCAGCAACGCCGCGUGAGUGAAGAAGUAUUUCGGUAUGUAAAGCUCUAUCAGCAGGGAAGAUAAUGACGGUACCUGACUAAGAAGCUCCGGCUAAAUACGU
rnacentral:rRNA from 1 species